rnacentral:rRNA from 1 species
GACGAACGCUGGCGGCGUGCUUAACACAUGCAAGUCGAACGGAGAGGCCCUGCUUUUGUGGGGUGCUCGAGUGGCGAACGGGUGAGUAACACGUGAGUAACCUGCCCUUGACUUUGGGAUAACUUCAGGAAACUGGGGCUAAUACCGGAUAGGAGCUCCUGCUGCAUGGUGGGGGUUGGAAAGUUUCGGCGGUUGGGGAUGGACUCGCGGCUUAUCAGCUUGUUGGUGGGGUAGUGGCUUACCAAGGCUUUGACGGGUAGCCGGCCUGAGAGGGUGACCGGCCACAUUGGGACUGAGAUACGGCCCAGACUCCUACGGGAGGCAGCAGUGGGGAAUAUUGCACAAUGGGCGGAAGCCUGAUGCAGCAACGCCGCGUGCGGGAUGACGGCCUUCGGGUUGUAAACCGCUUUCGCCUGCGACGAAGCGUGAGUGACGGUAAUGGGUAAAGAAGCACCGGCUAACUACGUG